rnacentral:rRNA from 1 species
UACGAAGGGGGCUAGCGUUGCUCGGAAUCACUGGGCGUAAAGCGCACGUAGGCGGACUCUUAAGUCGGUGGUGAAAUCCUGGAGCUCAACUCCAGAACUGCCUUUGAUACUGGGAGCUCGAGUCCGGAAGAGGUGAGUGGAACUCCGAGUGUAGAGGUGAAAUUCGUAGAUAUUCGGAAGAAACACCAGUGGCGAAGGCGGCUCACUGGUCCGGUACUGACGCUGAGG